AGUAACACGUGGGCAAUCUGCCCUCAAGUGGGGAAUAACGCUGCGAAAGCAGUGCUAAUACCGCAUAAGCUUGUUCUGAAAGGGAUAAGUAAAGCUUAGGCGCUUGAGGAGGAGCCCGCGGCUGAUUAGCUAGUUGGUGGGGUAACGGCCUACCAAGGCGAUGAUCAGUAGCCGGCCUGAGAGGGCUGACGGCCACACUGGGACUGAGACACGGCCCAG
rnacentral:rRNA from 1 species